AACGAACGCUGGCGGCAUGCCUAACACAUGCAAGUCGAACGAAGCCUUCGGGCUUAGUGGCGCACGGGUGCGUAACGCGUGGGAAUCUGCCCUUUGGUUCGGAAUAACAGUUGGAAACGACUGCUAAUACCGGAUGAUGACGAAAGUCCAAAGAUUUAUCGCCAGAGGAUGAGCCCGCGUAGGAUUAGCUAGUUGGUGUGGUAAAGGCGCACCAAGGCGACGAUCCUUAGCUGGUCUGAGAGGAUGAUCAGCCACACUGGGACUGAGACACGGCCCAGACUCCUACGGGAGGCAGCAGUGGGGAAUAUUGGACAAUGGGCGAAGGCCUGAUCCAGCAAUGCCGCGUGAGUGAUGAAGGCCCUAGGGUUGUAAAGCUCUUUUACCCGGGAUGAUAAUGACAGUACCGGGAGAAUAAGCCCCGGCUAACUCCGUGCCAGCCGCCGCUGUAA
rnacentral:rRNA from 1 species